rnacentral:sRNA from 1 species
UGAAGAUACAUGUGCUAUACGUGAUUUG